rnacentral:pre_miRNA from 9 species
UCUCGAUCGCGUAAAAGUUAACCCAAAUUUGUAUGGAGUUGGAACAGCUUCUCUUAAUUUGUCGCUAGGGGCGCUGUUUCAACUCCAUACAAAUUUGAAUUAACUUUUACGCGAUCGA